GUGAUAAAUGAUGAUUAUGCAUGUGAGAUUUUUUUCUCAAUUUUGAAGGGUCAAUUAAAGUAGCUGGAAGUUUCUUACUUUAUUUUCACAAAUAAUGCAACUAUAUUAUAUAAUACCUGAAUGUAAGCAAAUCAUAUGAUAUAUACGUGGCGUCCUUUGGGCCUCUCUACCCCCUCCUGUUUGAUAACUUGGAAACGGCCAAGAUCCCCACCC
rnacentral:lncRNA from 1 species